rnacentral:rRNA from 1 species
AGUGAACGCUGGCGGUAGGCCUAACACAUGCAAGUCGAACGGCAGCACAGUAAGAGCUUGCUCUUACGGUUGGCGAGUGGCGGACGGGUGAGGAAUACAUCGGAAUCUACUUUUUCGUGGGGGAUAACGUAGGGAAACUUACGCUAAUACCGCAUACGACCUACGGGUGAAAGCAGGGGAUCUUCGGACCUUUCGCGAUUGAAUGAGCCGAUGUCGGAUUAGCUAGUUGGCGGGGUAAAGGCCCACCAAGGCGACGAUCCGUAGCUGGUCUGAGAGGAUGAUCAGCCACACUGGAACUGAGACACGGUCCAGACUCCUACGGGAGGCAGCAGUGGGGAAUAUUGGACAAUGGGCGCAAGCCUGAUCCAGCCAUACCGCGUGGGUGAAGAAGGCCUUCGGGUUGUAAAACCCUUUUGUUGGGAAAGAAAAGCAGCAGGUUAAUACCCCGCUGUUCUGACGGUACCCAAAGAAUAAGCACCGGCUAACUUCGUG